UACGUAUGGAGCAAGCGUUAUCCGGAUUUACUGGGUGUAAAGGGAGCGCAGGCGGCUUUGCAAGCCUGAUGUGAAAGGCCGGGGCUCAACCCCGGGACUGCAUUGGAAACUGUAAAGCUAGAGUGCCGGAGAGGUAAGCGGAAUUCCUAGUGUAGCGGUGAAAUGCGUAGAUAUUAGGAGGAACACCAGUGGCGAAGGCGGCUUACUGGACGGCAACUGACGCUGAGGCUCGAAAGCGUGGGGAGCAAACAGG
rnacentral:rRNA from 1 species